GACUACCGGGGUAUCUAAGCCUGUUUGCUCCCCACGCUUUCGCGUCUCAGCGUCAGUUGUGUUCCAGUAGAUCGCCUUCGCAAUCGGUAUUCCUUCUGAUAUCUACGGAUUUUACCCCUACACCAGAAAUUCCAUCUACCUCUCCCACACUCUAGAUCAACAGUUUUCAAAGCAGUUCAAUAGUUAAGCUAUUGGAUUUCACUUCGAACUUAUCAAUCCGCCUACACGCUCUUUACGCCCAGUGAUUCCGAGUAACGCUUGCGCCCUCCGUAUUACCGCGGCUGCUGGCACGGAGUUAGCCGGCGCUUAUUCAUAGGCUACCGUCAUUAUCUUGACAUAUAAAAGGAGUUUACGCACCGAAAUGUGUCAUCCUCCACGCGGCGUUGCUGCAUCAGACUUUCGUCCAUUGUGCAAUAUUCCCCACUGCAGCCACCCGUAGG
rnacentral:rRNA from 1 species